UAGACCCGGUCUAGGUCAGAGGAGUGUGAGAGAUGCACAACUUCCUUUCCGUUUGUAACAAAUGGAAAUUGACAUCAAACCGUAGCAUUGAACAGAAUGUCAUUCUGAUGUGGAAACAGGAUGAAAUGAUUGAAAAACCUGCAUUCAGUAUCAAAUCUUACACCAUGAAAUUUAUCUUAAACAGAAACAAAGACAACUGAGACAAUGGAGGCUACAUCAGUGGACACAACAGUGACAACCAUCGGCUCAAAUCCUACCCUGACACCCACUGAUCCGUCAACAUCAGGAGAAACAAAGACAACAACUGAGGACUCGACAAUGGAGUCGACUUCAGUGGACACAACAGUGGUAACCAUCAGCUCAAAACCUACCCUGACAUCCACUGAUGUAUCAACAUCAGGAG